rnacentral:rRNA from 1 species
UUUUAUGGAGAGUUUGAUCCUGGCUCAGGAUGAACGCUGGCGGCGUGCCUAAUACAUGCAAGUCGAGCGAACGGACGAGAAGCUUGCUUCUCUGAUGUUAGCGGCGGACGGGUGAGUAACACGUGGAUAACCUACCUAUAAGACUGGGAUAACUUCGGGAAACCGGAGCUAAUACCGGAUAAUAUUUUGAACCGCAUGGUUCAAAAGUGAAAGACGGUCUUGCUGUCACUUAUAGAUGGAUCCGCGCUGCAUUAGCUAGUUGGUAAGGUAACGGCUUACCAAGGCAACGAUGCAUAGCCGACCUGAGAGGGUGAUCGGCCACACUGGAACUGAGACACGGUCCAGACUCCUACGGGAGGCAGCAGUAGGGAAUCUUCCGCAAUGGGCGAAAGCCUGACGGAGCAACGCCGCGUGAGUGAUGAAGGUCUUCGGAUCGUAAAACUCUGUUAUUAGGGAAGAACAUAUGUGUAAGUAACUGUGCACAUCUUGACGGUACCUAAUCAGAAAGCCACGGCUAACUACGUGCCAGCAGCCGCGGUAAUACGUAGGUGGCAAGCGUUAUCCGGAAUUAUUGGGCGUAAAGCGCGCGUAGGCGGUUUUUUAAGUCUGAUGUGAAAGCCCACGGCUCAACCGUGGAGGGUCAUUGGAAACUGGAAAACUUGAGUGCAGAAGAGGAAAGUGGAAUUCCAUGUGUAGCGGUGAAAUGCGCAGAGAUAUGGAGGAACACCAGUGGCGAAGGCGACUUUCUGGUCUGUAACUGACGCUGAUGUGCGAAAGCGUGGGGAUCAAACAGGAUUAGAUACCCUGGUAGUCCACGCCGUAAACGAUGAGUGCUAAGUGUUAGGGGGUUUCCGCCCCUUAGUGCUGCAGCUAACGCAUUAAGCACUCCGCCUGGGGAGUACGACCGCAAGGUUGAAACUCAAAGGAAUUGACGGGGACCCGCACAAGCGGUGGAGCAUGUGGUUUAAUUCGAAGCAACGCGAAGAACCUUACCAAAUCUUGACAUCCUUUGACAACUCUAGAGAUAGAGCCUUCCCCUUCGGGGGACAAAGUGACAGGUGGUGCAUGGUUGUCGUCAGCUCGUGUCGUGAGAUGUUGGGUUAAGUCCCGCAACGAGCGCAACCCUUAAGCUUAGUUGCCAUCAUUAAGUUGGGCACUCUAAGUUGACUGCCGGUGACAAACCGGAGGAAGGUGGGGAUGACGUCAAAUCCCAUCAUGCCCCUUAUGAUUUGGGCUACACACGUGCUACAAUGGACAAUACAAAGGGCAGCGAAACCGCGAGGUCAAGCAAAUCCCAUAAAGUUGUUCUCAGUUCGGAUUGUAGUCUGCAACUCGACUACAUGAAGCUGGAAUCGCUAGUAAUCGUAGAUCAGCAUGCUACGGUGAAUACGUUCCCGGGUCUUGUACACACCGCCCGUCACACCACGAGAGUUUGUAACACCCGAAGCCGGUGGAGUAACCUUUUAGGAGCUAGCCGUCGAAGGUGGGACAAAUGAUUGGGGUGAAGUCGUAACAAGGUAG